rnacentral:rRNA from 1 species
GAUGAACGCUGGCGGCGUGCCUAAUACAUGCAAGUCGAGCGAACAGACGGGGAGCUUGCUCCUCUGACGUUAGCGGCGGACGGGUGAGUAACACGUGGAUAACCUACCUAUAAGACUGGGAUAACUUCGGGAAACCGGAGCUAAUACCGGAUAAUAUAUUGAACCGCAUGGUUCAAUAGUGAAAGACGGUUUUGCUGUCACUUAUAGAUGGAUCCGCGCCGCAUUAGCUAGUUGGUAAGGUAACGGCUUACCAAGGCAACGAUGCGUAGCCGACCUGAGAGGGUGAUCGGCCACACUGGAACUGAGACACGGUCCAGACUCCUACGGGAGGCAGCAGUAGGGAAUCUUCCGCAAUGGGCGAAAGCCUGACGGAGCAACGCCGCGUGAGUGAUGAAGGUCUUCGGGUCGUAAAACUCUGUUAUUAGGGAAGAACAAAUGUGUAAGUAACUAUGCACGUCUUGACGGUACCUAAUCAGAAAGCCACGGCUAACUACGUG